rnacentral:rRNA from 1 species
UACGUAGGGGGCUAGCGUUGUUCGGAAUUACUGGGCGUAAAGCGCACGUAGGCGGUUCUUUAAGUCAGGGGUGAAAUCCCGAGGCUCAACCUCGGAACUGCCUUUGAUACUGGGGAUCUCGAGUCCGGGAGAGGUGAGUGGAACUGCGAGUGUAGAGGUGAAAUUCGUAGAUAUUCGGAAGAACACCAGUGGCGAAGGCGGCUCACUGGCCCGGAACUGACGCUGAGGUGCGAAAGCGUGGGGAGCAAACAGG